rnacentral:misc_RNA from 1 species
GCAAACUUGGUCAUUUAGAGGAAGUAAAAGUCGUAACAAGGUUUCCGUAGGUGAACCUGCGGAAGGAUCAUUAUUGAAUAAACUUGGUUGGGUUGUUGCUGGCUUUUCGAAGUAUGUGCACACCUACGCCAUUUUUAACCACCUGUGCACCUUGUGUAGAUCCUGAGGUACUUGAACUGCUGUUCAUCAGCUUCUUGUAUCUGGAUCUAUGUUUCUUAUACAUACACCAUAUAUAUGAGAAUGUUAAAUACAGGCAUCUGUGCCUUUAGAAUAAAAACAACUUUCAACAACGGAUCUCUUGGCUCUCGCAUCGAUGAAGAACGCAGC